UGUCUCUAUGCUCAUGGGCAAUCGUUCUCUCUCGCCAGGGCCCGGAAUUAAAGACGGAGAUGUGGGCAUUACUGGCUGGGCUACCAUCUACUGCCCAUCCCAGUUGCCCUUCAAAAGCUGCCUUCUUGACCCACAGCUAUCCAUUUGAUGCAGGACAUGAAUGACCAUCAUUCCCAAUUCUCUUUCCAUUUCACCUUCACCAAAAAAGUUACUACAUGAAAUUUACUUCCCUCCAAUGUUGACUGUUUGCUAAAGUACGGUUUCAGUUUUAUCAAGCAUCUUUGUGAUUCAGUGGUUAGCACUGCUGCCUCUCAGCACCAGGGAGUCAGGUUCA